rnacentral:rRNA from 1 species
UACGAAGGGGGGCUAGCGUUGCUCGGAAUCACUGGGCGUAAAGGGCGCGUAGGCGGCGUUUUAAGUCGGGGGUGAAAGCCUGUGGCUCAACCACAGAAUGGCCUUCGAUACUGGGACGCUUGAGUAUGGUAGAGGUUGGUGGAACUGCGAGUGUAGAGGUGAAAUUCGUAGAUAUUCGCAAGAACACCGGUGGCGAAGGCGGCGACCUGGGUAGAUACUGACGCUGAGGUGCGAAAGCGUGGGGAGCAAACAGG